GAGUAGAGCGACAGUGUGCGGAAUAGCUCUUGUUGGCGGGGAGGGAGUAGCAAGUAAAUGUAAGGGCAAUCUAGGGUAAACGCAUUGAGUGGUAAAGGAGGGCACGUGAUAUCACCAUAGAAGGGCAGCAUAAACAACUGCUGCCAUAGUUGUUACGGGCAAAACAAUUUUGUUAACGCUUUCAGUUCCGUUCUUAGCAGAUGUGUACUAGAGUGGUGCAACCUUACAUAACCCCUCCUUAUCGUAUAGGUACUGGAAAGGACACGGCAGAUGCCUCCAUGUUCGGUUUGGGAGCAGUACUGAGCCAGGUGAACGAGGAAGGGCAGGACCACCCCAUAGCCUACAUCAGCCAGAAGCUGUUGCCCAGGGAGAUAGGCUAUGCGGCGAUGGAGGAGGAGUGCCUGGCCCUGGUGUGGGCCCUUAAGAAGCUUUAACCAUACCUCUAUGGAAGGACCUUCACAGUCCUCACGGAUCGCAACCCCCCUAGUCUGGCUUAACCGAGUUUCUGGAGACAAUGGACGCUUGCUGUGGUGGAGUUUAGCCUUGCAACUCUUUAACUUUGACAUUCAGUACAGGCCGGGAAAAAGUAAUGGAAACGCUGAUGGACUUUCCCGGCAAACUGAAGUGGAAUAGCUCAUCAGACAGCCCCAGGCGGACCCAUGUGUAGAUCUAGCCGGGUCUGCCGAACUGGAAGCUGCCCCCCCCCAAACUGGGGGAGCUGUCACUGAUACCAGGCUGCAAGGGUUAAACCUCCACCCCCUACUCUUGUUUCUCAGCGGAUCUGGGCUUUUGAGAGCAUAUGUGAUCUCCAAGACAGUUGGUUUGCCUUGUUUUUGUGCUUUGAACCUUUUCACGAAAGGGCUAGUCCCUGACCGCCUAACCCCUCUUUGUUUAGCUGGGCCCCUGACACUGCCGGUCGGCCACAUCUUCCCGAAUGCCCGGAGUCAUUUUACCCAGGUCGCUCCAGUGGCUCCUUGUCCCAGAGCUCUGCUCUUUUGGGGGUUGGUACCCCUUGGGGAGGACAAGCGAUGGGGUGAUUGCCGAAAGGGAGCUCACUUGGGAACUCGGGGUUCAGGACCCCGCUCUACAACUCCCACUCCCCAGUAGCCUUCCCUAGUGUACGUUUAAUCACCAAUAGCUCCGGCCCCCAGCCAUGGAUCAUGUUGCUUUUUGGAAUGUAGCAGCUGGGGACCGAGGGCUUUCCAAUUACACCUGCUCCCCCGGGAUCACCCCAGAACCACCAUCACUAUACCACUGGACACUAUGGGACAAUGGACUCUUUGGAGGGCGCCAACCUGUCUGGAGGUGCGGGAAUGGCAGGAGAUUUGGGGGACUGAUAAGGCUCUUAUCUUGAUGGGAUUGUGUAUAAAAACUGUGUUUUCCCAAUAAAGAGGUACUACUUGUUUUCACCUGAA